AUUGAACGCUGGCGGCAUGCCUUACACAUGCAAGUCGAACGGCAGCACGGGAGCAAUCCUGGUGGCGAGUGGCGAACGGGUGAGUAAAGUAUCGGAACGUGCCCAGUCGUGGGGGAUAACGUAGCGAAAGUUACGCUAAUACUGCAUACGAUCUAUGAAUGAAAGCGGGGGAUCGCAAGACCUCGCGCGAAUGGAGCGGCCGAGGUCAGAGUAGGUAGGUGGUGGGGUAAAGGCUCACCAAGCCGACGAUCUGUAGCGGGUCUGAGAGGACGACCAGCCACACUGGGACUGAGACACGGCCCAGACUCCUACGGGAGGCAGCAGUGGGGAAUUUUGGACAAGGGGCGAAAGCCUGAUCCAGCCAUGCCGCGUGCAGGAUGAAGGCCUUCGGGUUGUAAGCUGCUUUUGUACGGAGCGAAAAGGUUUGGCCUAAUAAGCUGAGCUCAUGACGGUACCGUAAGAAUAAGCACCGGCUAACUACGUGCCAGCAGCCGCCGUAA
rnacentral:rRNA from 1 species